CCGCACGGGUGAGUAACACGUAUCCAACCUGCCGUCUACUCUUGGACAGCCUUCUGAAAGGAAGAUUAAUACAAGAUGGCAUCAUGAGUUCACAUGUUCACAUGAUUAAAGGUAUUCCGGUAGACGAUGGGGAUGCGUUCUAUUAGAUAGUAGGCGGGGUAACGGCCCACCUAGUCUUCGAUGGAUAGGGGUUCUGAGAGGAAGGUCCCCCACAUUGGAACUGAGACACGGUCCAA
rnacentral:rRNA from 1 species